CACUGCCUAUCUGAAGUAUCUGUUUCCACAUUUUGUAAAAGAAGAAAUUUACAGGUAUUUCUACACCAGUUUUGGACAACAUUGGUCUGUUGGUAACUAUUGGCAUGAUCCACAUCAUGAAGAACUAUACAGAAACCAGUCUAUGUUCCUGGCACUGCUGGACAAUGAUACAAACUCGGCACACGA